UACAGAGGAGGCAAGCGUUGUUCGGAAUCACUGGGCUUAAAGCGCGUGUAGGCGGCGCGAUAAGUGUUCUGUGAAAUCCCACGGCUCACCCGUGGAACUGCAGGGCAUACUGUCGUGCUUGAGGCAGGUAGGGGCCACUGGAACUCUCGGUGGAACGGUGAAAUGUGUAGAUAUCGAGAGGAACGCCCGCGGCGAAAGCGGGUGGCUGGGCCUGUCCUGACGCUGAUACGCGAAAGCGUGGGGAGCAAACGGG
rnacentral:rRNA from 1 species